GUGAGGAAUUUUCCGCAAUGGGCGAAAGCCUGACGGAGCAAUGCCGCGUGAAGGAUGAAGGCCUAUGGGUUGUAAACUUCUUUUCUCAGAAAAGAAUUAUGACGGUAUCUGAGGAAUAAGCAUCGGCUAACUCUGUGCCAGCAGCCGCGGUAAGACAGAGGAUGCAAGCGUUAUCCGGAAUGAUUGGGCGUAAAGCGUCGGUAGGUUGUUUAAAAAGUAUUCUGUCAAAGAUUAGGGCUUAACCCUAGAUAGGCAGAAUAAACUUUUAAGCUAGAGUUUGGUAGAGGCAGAGGGAAUUCCCGGUGGAGCGGUGAAAUGCGUAGAUAUCGGGAGGAACACCAAAGGCGAAGGCACUCUGCUGGGCCAAUACUAACACUGAGAGACGAAAGCGAGGGGAGCAAAUGGGAUUAGAAACCCGGGUAGUCC
rnacentral:rRNA from 1 species